rfam:Eubacterium coprostanoligenes strain ATCC 51222 genome assembly, contig: EI64DRAFT_scaffold00006.6
UGAUAUGCGAUGAUGUUGGAGGUUGCGCUGAACCCGGCGGUAAUUUCAACGGAGUAUGUCCGAGUUUUAAACACGGGCGA